rnacentral:rRNA from 1 species
GAACUGAAGAGUUUGAUCAUGGCUCAGAUUGAACGCUGGCGGCAGGCCUAACACAUGCAAGUCGAGCGGAUGAAGGGAGCUUGCUCCUGGAUUCAGCGGCGGACGGGUGAGUAAUGCCUAGGAAUCUGCCUGGUAGUGGGGGAUAACGUCCGGAAACGGGCGCUAAUACCGCAUACGUCCUGAGGGAGAAAGUGGGGGAUCUUCGGACCUCACGCUAUCAGAUGAGCCUAGGUCGGAUUAGCUAGUUGGUGGGGUAAAGGCCUACCAAGGCGACGAUCCGUAACUGGUCUGAGAGGAUGAUCAGUCACACUGGAACUGAGACACGGUCCAGACUCCUACGGGAGGCAGCAGUGGGGAAUAUUGGACAAUGGGCGAAAGCCUGAUCCAGCCAUGC